rnacentral:rRNA from 1 species
GAUUCAUCGCUGAUAGAAUAGGCAUGCGUUCCAUUAGGCAGUUGCGGGGGUAACGGCCCACCAAACCGACGAUGGAUAGGGGUUCUGAGAGGAAGGUCCCCCACAUUGGUACUGAGACACGGACCAAACUCCUACGGGAGGCAGCAGUGAGGAAUAUUGGUCAAUGGCCGAGAGGCUGAACCAGCCAAGUCGCGUGAAGGAAGAAGGAUCUAUGGUUUGUAAACUUCUUUUAUAGGGGAAUAAAGUGGAGGACGUGUCCUUUUUUGUAUGUACCCUAUGAAUAAGCAUCGGCUAACUCCGUGCCAGCAGCCGCGGUAAUACGGAGGAUGCGAGCGUUAUCCGGAUUUAUUGGGUUUAAAGGGUGCGUAGGUGGUGAUUUAAGUCAGCGGUGAAAGUUUGUGGCUCAACCAUAAAAUUGCCGUUGAAACUGGGUUACUUGAGUGUGUUUGAGGUAGGCGGAAUGCGUGGUGUAGCGGUGAAAUGCAUAGAUAUCACGCAGAACUCCGAUUGCGAAGGCAGCUUACUAAACCAUAACUGACACUGAAGCACGAAAGCGUGGGGAUCAAACAGGAUUAGAUACCCUGGUAGUCCACGCAGUAAACGAUGAUUACUAGGAGUUUGGGAUACAAUGUAAGCUCUACAGCGAAAGCGUUAAGUAAUCCACCUGGGGAGUACGCCGGCAACGGUGAAACUCAAAGGAAUUGACGGGGGCCCGCACAAGCGGAGGAACAUGUGGUUUAAUUCGAUGAUACGCGAGGAACCUUACCCGGGUUUGGACGUAGUCUGACCGGAGUGGAAACACUUUUUCUAGCAAUAGCAGAUUACGAGGUGCUGCAUGGUUGUCGUCAGCUCGUGCCGUGAGGUGUCGGCUUAAGUGCCAUAACGAGCGCAACCCUUAUCACUAGUUACUAACAGGUGAAGCUGAGGACUCUGGUGAGACUGCCAGCGUAAGCUGUGAGGAAGGUGGGGAUGACGUCAAAUCAGCACGGCCCUUACAUCCGGGGCGACACACGUGUUACAAUGGCAUGGACAAAGGGCAGCUACCUGGCGACAGGAUGCUAAUCUCCAAACCAUGUCUCAGUUCGGAUCGGAGUCUGCAACUCGACUCCGUGAAGCUGGAUUCGCUAGUAAUCGCGCAUCAGCCAUGGCGCGGUGAAUACGUUCCCGGGCCUUGCACA